GAUGAAGAACGUAGCGAAAUGCGAUACGUAAUGUGAAUUGCAGAAUUCAGUGAAUCAUCGAGUCUUUGAACGCACAUUGCGCCCCCUGAUAUUCCGGGGGGCAUGCCUGUCCGAGCGUCAUUGCUGCCCUCAAGCACGGCUUGUGUGUUGGGCCUCCGUCCUCCUCCCGGGGGACGGGCCCGAAAGGCAGCGGCGGCACCGCGUCCGGUCCUCGAGCGUAUGGGGCUUCGUCACCCGCUCUUGUAGGCCCGGCCGGCGCUUGCCGACACAUCAAUCUUUUUUCCAGGUUGACCUCGGAUCAGGUAGGGAUACCCGCUGAACUUAAGCAUAUCAAUAAGCGGAGGA
rnacentral:misc_RNA from 1 species